GACGAACGCUGGCGGCGUGCCUAAUACAUGCAAGUCGAGCGAAGUUUUUCUGGUGCUUGCACUAGAAAAACUUAGCGGCGAACGGGUGAGUAACACGUAAAGAACCUGCCUCAUAGACUGGGACAACUAUUGGAAACGAUAGCUAAUACCGGAUAACAGCAUUAACUGCAUGGUUGAUGUUUGAAAGUUGGUUUUGCUAACACUAUGAGAUGGCUUUGCGGUGCAUUAGCUAGUUGGUGGGGUAAAGGCCUACCAAGGCGACGAUGCGUAGCCGACCUGAGAGGGUGAUCGGCCACACUGGGACUGAGACACGGCCCAGACUCCUACGGGAGGCAGCAGUAGGGAAUCUUCCGCAAUGGGCGAAAGCCUGACGGAGCAACGCCGCGUGAGUGAAGAAGGAUUUCGGUUCGUAAAGCUCUGUUGUUAGGGAAGAAUGAUUAUGUAGUAACUAUACAUAGUAG
rnacentral:rRNA from 1 species